GAUGAACGCUAGCGAUAGGCUUAACACAUGCAAGUCGAGGGGCAGCACAAGGUAGCUUGCUAUCUGGGUGGCGACCGGCGCACGGGUGCGUAACGCGUAUGCAACUUGCCCUAUACAGGAGGAUAACCCGUCGAAAGACGGACUAAUACUGCGUAUGCUCACAACUUGGCAUCAAGUGGUGAGGAAAGAAAUUCGGUAUAGGAUAGGCAUGCGCCCCAUUAGCUUGUUGGUGAGGUAACGGCUCACCAAGGCAACGAUGGGUAGGGGAACUGAGAGGUUUAGCCCCCACAGUGGUACUGAGACACGGACCAGACUCCUACGGGAGGCAGCAGUAAGGAAUAUUGGUCAAUGGGCGCGAGCCUGAACCAGCCAAGUCGCGUGAAGGAUGACUGUCUUAUGGAUUGUAAACUUCUUUUAGACGGGAAUAACAAGAGUCACGUGUGACUCCCUGCAUGUACCGUAUGAAUAAGCAUCGGCUAACUCCGUG
rnacentral:rRNA from 1 species